rnacentral:rRNA from 1 species
AUACGUAGGUGACAAGCGUUAUCCGGAUUUACUGGGCGUAAAGGGCGUGUAGGCGGUCUUGCAAGUCAGAAGUGAAAUUCCUGAGCUCAACUCGGGCGCUGCUUCUGAAACUGCAGGACUUGAGUGCUGGAGGGGAUAGUGGAAUUCCUAGUGGAGCGGUAAAAUGCGCAGAUAUUGGGAAGAACACCGGUGGCGAAGGCGGCUAUCUGGCCAGUACCUGACGCUGAGGCGGGAAAGCGUGGGGAGCAAACAGUAUUAUUGACCCUGGUAGUCAACGCCGUAAACGAUGAAUACUAGGUGUAGGGGGUAUCGACUCCCUCUGUGCCGCAGUUAACACGAUAAGUAUUCCGCCUGGGGAGUACGGCCGCAAGGUUGAAACUCAAAUGAAUUGACGGGG